CCUAGUUGAGACUAUCUAUUUUCACUAUUCUCGCUGACUGGUGAUAACCGAGGAGUGUAGCCCGUACCGCCAUAGGAUAAGAAGGCCUGGUGGAGGCUAACAUUUGCCACAUGCACACCUACGUGGUAAAUGUGCACCCAUUGUCUGGCUACACUCCUUAGCCAGUUAUGAUACCAAGUUAUGAUACUAUCUUAUGGCCACCGUAUCUGCUUGGAGAUUAGACUGGUGACACUAAUCAGUCACAGGCUCCAUGACUCCAUGAAACGUCACUCUCCAAGGGACUAUCACGUGACUCGUGGCCAACCACUGCCCCCACAUCAAAAUACCACACAACUUUUCAAGGAGGCAAACGGUAGGUACAAACCGUCCAGAAAGUUACUUUGGUGGCUGACGAAUGCGGCUUUGAUCGGAAGACACCAGGGCUGAGACCAAAGGGAACGUGUAAUAUCAGGGGCCAGCGGCCAAUGAGGCCCCAAGGUGGAGGAGCAAAUGGAAUGAAACUUGGAAGUGAAGAUUACACCACAAGCCCCAGGGUGACUACAUGGAUGUGAUCACACCCCCAAUAUCUGGUUUCUGAUGAUUUUGGAAAGGAAACAAAAUUCUGGAAAUCAAUGAUUCAUCAUCCAUCACCAUUCUGUAGUCAACAAAUCAUCCACAUUUUCCAAACCCAGCUAAAAAGUAUUCAGUCUGAGAAGAAACGAAUAAUUCAAAUAGUAGCCAUAAAUGUAACAAUUCAGUUCCCAGAAUGAUUGUUCGGCAGUUGAAACCAGCUACCCAAGCCCUCUGACUGAUCAUGUCAGAUCACUCCCGUCACUGAUCUUGGCUGUGUGAGGUGGUUUAUGCCAUGUUUCACCGUUAUAUUAUCCACUAUAAGACUAGAAAUUGAGGUUUUUGUGACGCUUUACAGUUUUUCUGGCUUUCUAAAGAACAAGAAUGGGUCAUUCACUCAUUGCCAUUUGUAUCUGAUAUUGCUUAAUAAAAUGUCGUAUAGAAAUGACUAAAAAA